AUUGAACGCUGGCGGCAGGCUUAACACAUGCAAGUCGAACGAGUGGCGGACGGGUGAGUAAUGCUUGGGAAUCUAGCUUAUGGAGGGGGAUAACUACGGGAAACUGUAGCUAAUACCGCGUACCAUAGGAUGAGCCCACGUGGGAUUAGGUAGUUGGUGCGGUAAAGGCUCACCAAGCCGACGCUCUCUAGCUGGUCUGAGAGGAUGACCAGCCAAACGGGGACUGAGACACGGCCCAGACUACGACGGGAGGGAGCAGUGGGGAAUAUUGCGCAAGGGGGGAAAGCUGACGCAGCCAUGCCGCGUGAAUGAAGAAGGCCUUCGGGUUGUAAAGUUCUUUCGGUAGCGAGGCGUUAACUACAGAAGAAGCACCGGCUAACUCCGUGCCAGCAGCCGCGGUAAUAC
rnacentral:rRNA from 1 species